GAUGAAGAACGUAGCGAAAUGCGAUAAGUAAUGUGAAUUGCAGAAUCCAGUGAAUCAUCGAAUCUUUGAACGCACAUUGCGCCCGCCAGCAUUCUGGCGGGCAUGCCUGUUCGAGCGUCAUUUCAACCCUCGACCUCCCUUUGGGGAAGUCGGCGUUGGGGACCGGCAGCACACCGCCGGCCCUGAAAUGGAGUGGCGGCCCGUCCGCGGCGACCUCUGCGUAGUAAACCAACUCGCACCGGAACCCCGACGUGGCCACGCCGUAAAACACCCAACUUCUGAACGUUGACCUCGAAUCAGGUAGGACUACCCGCUGAACUUAAGCAUAUCAUAAGCGGAGGA
rnacentral:misc_RNA from 1 species